AGUGAACGCUGGCGGUAGGCCUAACACAUGCAAGUCGAACGGCAGCACAGUAGGAGCUUGCUCUUACGGGUGGCGAGUGGCGGACGGGUGAGGAAUACAUCGGAAUCUACUUUUUCGUGGGGGAUAACGUAGGGAAACUUACGCUAAUACCUCAUACGACCUACGGGUGAAAGCAGGGGAUCUUCGGACCUUGCGCGAUUGAAUGAGCCGAUGUCGGAUUAGCUAGUUGGCGGGGUAAAGGCCCACCAAGGCGACGAUCCGUAGCUGGUCUGAGAGGAUGAUCAGCCACACUGGAACUGAGAAACGGUCCAGACUCCUACGGGAGGCAGCAGUGGGGAAUAUUGGACAAUGGGCGCAAGCCUGAUCCAGCCAUACCGCGUGGGUGAAGAAGGCCUUCGGGUUGUAAAGCCCUUUUGUUGGGAAAGAAAAGCAGCAGGUUAAUACCCCGCUGUUCUGACGGUACCCAAAGAAUAAGCACCGGCUAACUUCGUG
rnacentral:rRNA from 1 species